UCUGAUUUAUUGAAGGAAGUGUCCUAAUCAAGUGGUUUCUCAACCACAACGGUCCAUUCUUCUAAGUCCUAAAUGAAUUAGUACAUGCGGGUAACUAGUCUUGAAAUUACUAUGCUCAUGUUAAUGUUUUCUUAUCCCAUAUGUGACUGAAUUUUCUGCUGCUAUUAGGCUAGUUAAUCAACAUAACUUACUGAUAAUCCUUAUGUUUAAAUCCCUCGCAUUCAUCCCGCAUCAAU
rnacentral:lncRNA from 1 species